rnacentral:rRNA from 1 species
CAGUCGCCACGGUAAUACGUAGGUGGCAAGCGUUGUCCGGAAUUAUUGGGCGUAAAGCGCGCGCAAGUGGUUUAAUAAGUCUGAUGUGAAAGCCCACGGCUCAACCGUGGAGGGUCAUUGGAAACUGUUAAACUUGAGUGCAGGAGAGAAAAGUGGAAUUCCUAGUGUAGCGGUGAAAUGCGUAGAGAUUAGGAGGAACACCAGUGGCGAAGGCGGCUUUUUGGCCUGUAACUGACACUGAGGCGCGAAAGCGUGGGGAGCAAACAGGAUUAGAUACCCCAGUAGUCCCUGUCUCUUAUAC